UAUAGGGUGAACCUUUUCAAAAAAUGAAGGAUAGAUUGCUAAAGAAAUUAGGAGUACAGGAAAAAGAAUUCGAAAAGUUUAAGUUCGCGGUGGUGUCAAUGGGCAAGCCACAGUUCAUUAUCGACUCGCCGGACUGUUGUAUCAAAGUCGACGAUUUCCUUCCUAGAUUUUCCGGUCAGAGCACAUCGCCACACAGGCCUUGGCUUGGCCUGGAACAUGUCAACAAAGCGCCAAAGCGCUCUCGUA